UACGUAGGGGGCGAGCGUUGUCCGGAUUUAUUGGGCGUAAAGAGCUCGUAGGCGGCUUGGCAAGUCGGGUGUGAAACCUCCAGGCCUAACCUGGAGACGCCACUCGAUACUGCCAUGGCUAGAGUCCGGUAGGGGACCACGGAAUUCCUGGUGUAGCGGUGAAAUGCGCAGAUAUCAGGAGGAACACCGGUGGCGAAGGCGGGUCUCUGGGCCGAUAUUGACGCUGAGGAGCGAAAGCGUGGGGAGCGAACAGG
rnacentral:rRNA from 1 species